GUCUACGAUCAUGCUACCCUGAACAAGCCCAAUCCCAUCUAAUCACAAAAGCUAACCAGGGCCGAGCCUGGUUAGUACUUGGAUAGGAGACCACCUAGAAAGACCAGGUGCUGUAGGCA
rnacentral:rRNA from 1 species